rnacentral:rRNA from 1 species
CAAGUCGAGGGGUAACAGAAAAAAGCUUGCUUUUUUGCUGACGACCGGCGCACGGGUGCGUAACGCGUAUGCAACCUACCCUGUACUGGAGGAUAGCCCGGAGAAAUCCGGAUUAAUACUCCAUAGUAUCAUUCUAUCACCUGAUAGAUUGAUUAAAGGUUACGGUACAGGAUGGGCAUGCGUCCCAUUAGCUAGAUGGUAAGGUAACGGCUUACCAUGGCUACGAUGGGUAGGGGGCCUGAGAGGGUGAUCCCCCACACUGGUACUGAGACACGGACCAGACUCCUACGGGAGGCAGCAGUGAGGAAUAUUGGACAAUGGAGGCAACUCUGAUCCAGCCAUGCCGCGUGCAGGAAGACUGCCCUAUGGGUUGUAAACUGCUUUUAUUUGGGAAUAAACCUCCUUACGUGUAGGGAGCUGAAUGUACCAAACGAAUAAGGACCGGCUAACUCCGUGCCAGCAGCCGCGGUAAUACGGAGGGUCCAAGCGUUAUCCGGAAUCAUUGGGUUUAAAGGGUCCGCAGGCGGAUUUGUAAGUCAGUGGUGAAAUCCUACAGCUUAACUGUAGAACUGCCAUUGAUACUGCAAGUCUUGAAUUCGGUCG